CUUUUCUAAAUGGUUUCAGGCUGUCUUUACAGUGAGUUUCAAAUUACUGUUUCAGGUGAGGUGUAAACUCGUCUGCUCAUCAAGAAAGAAAGGUUUUUUCUUUGUCUCCAAGGCCCUGUAGCUGCUCAUUGACUUGAAAGCUGACAAAAGAAAUCUUCUACUGUGGGUCAGAGAGAACAAAACAGGUCAUGAAUGAAGACAUGGGAAUUUAGAGGAGCCAUGGCAAUGGCCCAUCUAGAAAGGCCCAGGGCUGGAAAUGUCAAGGACUUCCUCGUGGGUGUGAAGGCAGCUUUGUUGAGACAAGAACAAAUGUGUUUAAGACCAGAGAAAAGGAUGUUGUUGUGAGAUGUCUCGUUUACCUCGGUGGGAGUAUGGCAAAGAAUGUGCAAUUUCACUUGUUGGUGCUAGCUGCUACAGGAUGAACAGAAUAUGGACUCCACCAGUUCUUUGUGCUGCUCUCCAAGACAUGAAGCAUCAUCUAGAAAAUCUUGACUGUUUCGCAUCCAUGGACUGGAAGGAAUUUAAAUCUUCCCUUGCAUGCAAGUACUGGAGACCUAAGUCUGGUUGUUAAAACUGAAC
rnacentral:lncRNA from 1 species